ensembl:lncRNA
CAUUCACUCCACAAAAGUCUUUAGCAGCAAAAUCCACAGAAAAUGCAUGUAAAAUUCACAACAACACAAAAAUGAAGGCAAAGACUGACAAAAUCCAAACUGAAAGAGUUUUCAAAUAACUACAAAAAAUAUAUAUAUAUAUUUGCUAUAUUUUUUUUUCUCUUUUGAAUUUGCAUCGUAUACUUUUUGAUUCUUAAAAUUUUGUUUGUGGAUUUUAUUUUUUUGCGUAAAACUUUUGGCACAAAAUUCACUCCAUAUUUUAGGGUCGCCGAAGGCCAGAUGAUUAAAGCCUGAUUAAAGCAGAUCAACUCAAGUCAAAUAAUUCUACCAUAAAGUCUUGUUUUAUGCAACUGUUUUGUACAGUAAAAGCACUUAGUGUUGUUUUUGUGUUGUUAGUCUCAUUACAAAAUUGAUUGAUAUUUCAUCAUCAUCAUCAUCAUCUAUCAUUUUAAACAUUUUUCUUUAUUUUAUGUUGUUCUCUUGUUUUUUUAUAGCCUGUAAAAAACUGAUUACCAUAACAAACACGUCAUCUGUGGGAUCCUUCAAUUUAACAUCAGCCUGCACAUGCUUUUACACACACACCGGCUGUAAUAUAUCAGGAUCAAGUUAUCACAAGAUAAUAGGAGAUCACUGUCUGAUGUACAUCUCAGACCAGUCGCCCACAGGUUUCUGCUUGUUCAACACAUCCAACAGCCAACUAAACUUUACUGUGACCAAAAAUAGCAGCUCGUAUGAAUUAAGUUUAGAUAAAAAUCUUACUGAUGACAUAAUUCUGCGGUUUCUACAAAAUAUUUCUACAGUUCUGCCAUCACAGAACCAGACUAAUGCAGGUAUCUGCCCCAAUAACACUCUCACCUUCCAGGAUCUCUGCAAGAACAUGACACAUUGUUGGAAUACAACAUGCAGCCCAGAUAGCAGAUGCUUUAUUCAGGUUCAAGACAUUAAAAACAUGGAAUGCAGAGGCUGCUGUCAACCAACUACAUCAAAACCAACCACAUCAAGUUUAACUACACCAAGUUCACCUACAUUACAACCAACUACUCCCAGUCAAUCAAAAAAGAAUUCAGAAGCAUUACAUUUGAUGGUUAACCUCAAAGAAAAAGCGAAAUCAAUUUGUGAUAAUUGCACGUCAGCGAUUGAAAUGGCAAGUGCUAAAGGACUUCUUGUAAAACAUGCGAAGAAUGAAAGCGUGAAAAUCGGAUAUGAUGACAACUGGGGCGUGGUGGUUGUGGCUGACACUUCACAGGAGUCAAAGUGGUCUGUAACGGUUCCAGAAGAAGCGUUCAGUAUGGCACGUAUGCAAAUGAAUGAAACACCUUUCGUCGGGGUUGUGCGAUUCCAAGAUCUUGUACAGACCAUCAUAGACAAUGAUUCAACACUGUAUUUCAAAAGUGAUGUUUUUGGAAUAUCGAUGGGGGUCAAUAUUACUAAUCUCACAAACAGCAUUGACAUCUACUUCAGAAAUCUGAGUAUGGUAAGCCACUUUCUCAAUUUUAUAAUAAUUCAUUUUAUAUAUAUUUUUUUAAAUAUAAUUUUAUAAUUAAUUAUAUUUUUUACAUACAAAACUAAUGAUUUACAUGAUUUCAUUUGCACAGACUGCUUCAAACUGGACCUGUACGUCUUCAGAUAGUGCAGGUAAUUGUUUAACUUUUUUUUUUAAAUCAAAACCAGUUUGGUUUGAAACCAGUAAAAGUAAAUGUUUUAUGGUAAAAGUUCAGAUUUCUCUAAAUUAGCUCUUUUUUUUUGUCUCCUGGAAGAUACGUGGACCUCAUCUGGCUGUAAAACCAAAUUCAUAAACAACACAAUUCAGUGUUCUUGUACUCACCUGACCUUCUUUGCGCUCCUGAUGGUAAGAAUCUGUAUCUGUAUUUUCAUACACUGUUUACUCGGGAAUACAUAAAGUAUUUACUGGAGUGAUUCAUAAUACAGCUCUGGAAAAAAUGAAGAGAGCACUUCAGUUUCUGAAUCAGUUUCUCUGAUUUUGCUAUUUAUAGGUUUAUGUUUGAGUAAAAUGAAC